GGCAAGAAGCCCAGUGAUUCUGUGUCCGCCAAAUAGAGACAAAAACCCAAGUUGUGCGAUGCAGCUUUAAAGGGGCUGGUGAUUGACAGAAUGUGUAGCAGUGGAUGGGGUGGAGCCGCUGGGUGGGGUUUAGAACUGGCAGCUGGGAGAAACUAAAAGGAAGGAAAGAGAAAACCAUUGCCCCUGACGUUGCUAAUGUCGGGCGGGAACCUAGCCAAAAAAAAAAAAAAAAAAAAAAAAAAAAAAAAAAAGGAGGAUUUUUAGAGCUCCCCUCCACUCGUGUCCCCCGGUAGACUCUCUCAAACCCUUCUGUCUCCUUUUGAGAUAAUUAAAAUCGAGUAAACACCGGCCCUAGUCGGUGCCCAUUCUCCCUAACUCUCCACUGACCGAGGUUUGUGGUGCUAGGAAGUGAGGACUCUGAGUGCACCAGCUCAACCCCGAUCCCGCCCCAUCAGCCCUGGCCCACGGCGGGGAGCAGAAGAUGCCUUCGGAGGUGCAGAAUCCCAAACUCCUUCGGUUGGCAGAUCAAGACAGCAUUUAUUGCAAAUGACAAUAGCAGGUAACAUUUUUUUGAGCAAUUUCUAUAUGCAAAACACUGUUCUAAAUUCUUGUCAAUACCUAUGUAGUAAAAUUGUUAUGAUGGUUAUAUAACACAUAAAAUGUACCUAACAUAUAAUGUUCAGUCAGUAAGUGUUAGUACUUGUAUAAUCACUAUCUGCUCUCAUUCCUUCUCCCUUAAAAAAAAGUACAAUAAUUUAUAAACCUGUCAAUUCACUAGGUUGUACACCUAAAACUAAUAUAACAUAUUGUGUGUCAAUUAUACUCAAAAUACAUAUAUACAUACAUACAUACAUACUUGGAUUAGGCUCACUGUAAAUACAGACUUUUUCAUCUCUGAGGAGAGAUCUUGGCUGCUUCACCAUUCUCUCAUCCAACCUAUAGUAAUAGAUCCAAGACUUUUCUAUACUUCCUAAGCCCCCAUUCAUACCUACCACCAAUUGUGGCCUCCUGAUUUCCUGAUGAAAUUAUAUAAAUUCCCUCAUUUCUCUUCUACUUCACCUAGGUCAGCACUGCUCAAACUUUACUGUAUAUAAAUCACCUGCAGAUUUUCUUACAAUUCGGAUUUUGAGUCAGAAAGUUGGGGGUGGGACCUGAGGAGAUUCUACAUUUCUAACAAGUUUCUGGGUGUGCAGAUACUUCUGGAUGGAUAACAUAUUGUGUAGGAAAAAUCUAAAGAAUAUCAAAGUUUAUUAAUCCCAAUGCUUUCUUUUAAUUAAUUUUUUUCAGUGUUCCAAAAUUCAGUUUAUACAUCACACCUAGUGCUCCAUGCAAUACAUGCCGUGCCUUCUUUAAUACUCACCAGGAGGCUCACCUAUACCUCUAUGCCCCUCCCUUCCAAAACCCUCAGUUUGUUUCUCAGAGUCCACAGUCUCUCAUGUUUCAUCUUCCCCUCCGAUUUAUCCCAAUUCACUUUCCAUUCCUUCUCCUAGUGUCCUCGGUCUUAUUCCAUAUGCUCUACAAGUAAGUGAAACUAAUGUUUUGUUGUUGUUGUUGUUGUUUGUUUUGGUUUGGUUUAACAGAUUUAGAAAUUGAGGCUUAAAAAUGUUAUGUGAUUUUCUCAGAGUUGUAUAACUAGUAAGUGGUAGAGUCUAGUCUUAAACCUAGCUCUUGCUUCCCAUGCUGUAUUUAUAUCCUACACCUCAGCAGUUGUUUCUUGAAGCAAUUCCUUGAUGUUGAAUUGCUUUCUCUACAUCACCUCAAACUAUGGGAAUCUCCAUGGUGCUUUUUUGUCUGAUCUGACUACAGCAUUGUUUUGCUGAAAUAUUACUAUAUUUUUAAAUUUCCUUGAAAAUAGUUUAAAGUUGUUUUGGCUGGAAAUGUUUCAUAGGUAGCACAUGAAAGCUUUGAUGAGCUCUGAGGCAAUAGAUUCCCACAUUAAUAGAGUUUUUAUUCAUUCAAAAGGGAGCAGUGAGUCUGAUUUAGAUAAUUGAAAAUGAUGUUCAGAGUUGUUAGUGAGUGAGAGGUAAAUGAAGUCAACGUAUUCUCUUACUUCAAGGCCUGAAGCAUACCAGCUGUAUGGAGAGGAUUGAGGUCCUCCAUCUCCAAUGUGGGGUGGGGACAAUGUCAAUUUACUGAGUAUGUGAAGUAUGGAACUCAAAGCUUUCCAUGGAACAACCCUUCAAACUGUUUUACCAGACCCUACAACUCAGGAUGCCUUGAGGUUAAUAGAUUUCUUGAUGUAAUUUGAUGGUUAGAGACUCUAGGACAGUUGAGAACUUGCAGGGGAAGACUCUCUAAGCAUCACUGGAAUCUACACAGUUGCAGUUUUCCUUUGCAGCUAUGCUAUGGGCAUAAUAGUAGCCAUCAGUAGCUAAGAGUUAGUAAUGGUAACUUCAACUUUUUUUCAAAGUUUUUAAUUUUUUUAAUUUUUAUUUUAUUAUGUUAUGUUAGUUACUAUAUAGUAGUAUAUCUUUGGUUUUUGAUGUAGUGUUCCAUUAUUCAUUGUUUGCAUGUAAGACCCAGUGCUCCAUGCAAUACAUUCUUUGGCUGUAUUGUCUUUAAAUGUAGAUUUGGGAUGGUAUGUUAAAUUUGUCCUGUUUUGAUUCAAAAUAAACUAGGAAAUAGCAUCCUCAUAAACUGGGUAGGCUUAAACAGAGAGUGACCUUGGGAAUCUCAAAUUUGUAUUUCAGAUCUUAUGACCCAUGCACCAUUCUGCCAACUGGAAGAAAUGUACUCUUAUUGUGGCAAAAGUAUUCAAGCAAAACAGCUUCUUCUUGCAUAUUCAAAGGGCAGAAGGGAACUUGCUUCUGAGUGCCUGGUACUGUGUUAGCCCAGUAUAAAUAUUAUAUUUAUAUAACAUAAAUAUAUAUUAUAUUAUAUUCCCCUCCCUAUUUUUUUUUUUUUUACAAAUGGGGAAAUCAAGAAUCAGAGAAAUUAACUAAAUAAACAGUUACACUGCUAGCAUUUGGCAUCUGGGAUUUGAACUCAGAUCUGACACCAGAGCCCUUGCCUUUAAGUGACACAUUAUGCUGUUUUCAAGUACCUAAAUUAGGAAAGCAAUAGAUUCAGAUGUUAUAACUAUUUAUUAUAAGUUACUUAUUUACAUUUUAAAUGUCUUAUUUUGAAUGGGAAAAAGACCAGAGAAAUAACAGGAUGUAUUGAACAGAAGUAAGUAUAUAAAAGGUUAUUUCUACAUUUGGGCUCUCAAAGCACUAGACUCAGCAGUCUAAGGAUGUCUUAGUCAUGUCUUCCCCUAGUACCUAGUGCAUAGAAAUUGUCUAGGAAAUGUUUGUUGAGUGAAUGAAUGAAUGGAUGAAUUGAUGAGUUGAGAAGAAUUAGCUACCUACUUUGAGACUUCCUGACAGAUACACAUCCUUUCACAUGUUCCUGGCCAACAAUAUAUAGAUUAUGUAUACAGGUACCCAAAAAGAGAUACAUAUAUACAUUCAGAAAUAGCCAUCCUGAUAUACACAAACUCAGAGAUACAUCUACAUGUAAAUGAAUGCUAGGUAUAUUAGUUUCUUGCUGCUGUAACAAAGCACCAUAAAGUGGUUGGCUUAAAACAAAGAACACUCAUUCCCUCAUAGUUCUAGAAGUGACACGUAUGAAGUUAAGGUGUUGGCAGGACCCUGCUCCCUCAAAAACCUCUAGGGGAAGAUUCUUUCUGGUUCUUUUUUUUUUUUUUUUUUUUUGGCUUCUGACAUUCUUUGGUUUGCAACAGCAUAAUUCUAACUUCUGCCUCUGUCUUUACAUGUUUGUCUCCCUGUAUGUGGGUCUCCCUCUCUUCACAAGGUGUUUUCCAGUUCUUUAUAAGAAUACCAGUCAUAUUAGAUUAGAACCCACCCUAAAUACCCAUCUUGAUUACUUACUCCCAAAUAAGGUAAAAAAUCAAAGAUACUAGUGAUGAGGGAGCAGGAGGCUGGCUGAGGACAAAGCAAAAGCUGGCGCCUUGCACCCCCUCUUUACCCACUCCCCUCCAUAUGUGUAGCAUUCCUCAGGCACCCCUGACCACCAUAAAAUGAUAAAUAGUUAACUUGCGGGGAUCGCAAUCCUGCAGAACAGGAAUCUCCCUUGCUCUACAAGAUGUCCUAGAGACCUAAACAGGGAGGUUACCUUAUCAAUAGCACAAAUUUCCAGAGGCAAAUAACUCUCGGUUCCUGAAGCCCUAAUGUCUCCCUCCCACCAUAAACUGGAGGAGACUGGGGUAGAAGGGAAUGUGAAUGAUAGCCGGAUCAUAAUACCCCACCAAGAAUCCCCCAAUUAUCUUGAUGUUAGUGCCUGACCUAAAGACGACAUUGAUCAAGCCAUAAGGGCAAGUACUCCCCCCGGCACCUUGUAGGCCCUCCCUAACAUGUGAGAACUCUGUUGAAAUCUCCCAUCCCUUCACCACCUCUCCCCAAACGUGGGGUAUAUAACAUGCCUACCCUCACAACCCGGGGCAGCAGCUCUUCCUGCCCACGGGUCCUGUCCCCGUGCUUUAAUAAACCACCAUUUUGCACCAACGACGUCUUAAGAAUUCUUUCUUUAGUCGUUGGCUCCGAACCUCCUCACCCCACCGAACCUGACUUAGGUUCUGGGACUUCAUCAUUUUUGGCGAGCCAGCCAGGAGGAUUGUGAGUCUUUACAUUUGGACUCUGAGCUUCGGUGCAAAAUUGGUGAGUACCUUCUCUCCUUUUCCUGUACUCUCAUUCCAGGGCUUUUUCAAGGAGUAUGGUCUUAUUGGAACACUUGCAUGUCAAUUGCUCAGGCUGUAAUCCUCUAGCCCAUAGCUACUCUAUGGGGAGGAGAACGUCUGCCUUUUGGCUGUAAGCUAGUACCCUGGCCGGAAUGGCAAUAAGACCCAGAAACGUGAUGGCUUCUCUUUAUUCCUGUUCUUAUAGAAAGUUGUCUCUCUUGGGCACGGGACAGCCACCUAAGUCACCAGGACGGCUGCCAAUCUUAAGACUCCCGUGUGAGGUUUCCUCCUGAUUGAUCUAAUGUGAUCCCCUCCACAUGCCCGGUCUAGCCACUUCUGGCCGCAGGACCUCCACUGGGAGCCGGCCGAAACCAGUACCCGAUUGAAUUAAAACGCAACCGGGGACCGUUUCCUAGGGAAGUUGGCUGCAAGGACCACAUGUGUUGGAAUGUCACAUAGACCAAGAUGAAUUUCAAUCUUUACUGUUUCUCGUCAGUGUCUUCUGCAAACCACCUAAAGCUAUGAAAUUGGGUAAUUUCCUUUUGCCAAACUUUUCUAGUAUUUCCAUGGGUUAAUAUGGCAAAACAGUAUGCAGUUUUCAGGAUAGACAAUGGCUUGGCAUGGCACAAUUUCCUAGUCCAUUCACCAGGCACCCAUCUGUAGCCUAGGAUGCGAUGGGGAAGUGGAGGGACGCCGGCACCCCUCCAGGGCCUCUUACGGCAGGAAUGCCUUCUCGGGGAAGGCAGGAUGGUGAUCAAUAGCGUAUCUUGAGGGACGCCUCAGGUCGCUUUUGACACCUAAAACCUCUGACAUACCCUGUGUGGGACGCCACCCAGGAGUCAGGGGAUUUGGUAAUGGACCUUCAUUACUUUUCCGGAAGCAUGGCCUCAGUAGGCUUCUUCAGUUCCCAAGGACUCUACCUUGGGGUGCCUUUUAACCCACUGGAAAUAAUUUGGAUUGCAAAACUUAGGAAAGGACCGAGCUCCUGUAACACUGCAUGGCCUCAGUGGGAUCUAUCAGUUAGAUCUCUGCAGGAAACAGGGCAAAUGGACCUAGGAUACCUUCACCGCUCAUACCUAGGCCUUCAUUGCUCUACACCAGGACCCCAGACUAAGGGGCUUUUGUGGAAUGUGUUUGCCCAAAUGAGUCAGCUAGUAAACUUUCUCCUGACAUAUUCAAUGAUAAUUACGUAAAUAAGCCUUCUUCUAGUAAACCCAGGUUGCUGGGCCAUCCCUAGCAAAGGGGACUCUGACCUUAUUUCUGUUUCUCCUAAUAGAUGUGGGGGCUUCUCCCUCACUCACUUCCCGUGUUAAUGGCUGUAACUGGAGCCAACUGGGGUUGGUCUAACUCGAGACAGAGACCAUAAGGAAUAUUCCCAAGCAGCUGCCGAAUCUCUCUUUGUUUUGGGGAAGUUUCCCUGUGUUCUCUGGCCUGACUUGGACUGCCUAACCCCUCCCACCUUGCUGGUGGGAAAGCAUGGUGUCUGCUCCUCUGUUGGGGCUUAUGAGCUCUAAAACCGGGAAUCCUUUCUCUGCCUCCUGGCAGCACUUUGUUUCUUCUGUUUCCCCCUUCUCCUGUUUCUGCACCAACGUGUGUGCAGCCUGCAUGACUAGCCUCUAGAUCAUGCACCACAGCUCCUUCUCUCUCCACUGUCAAGGAGCAAGAAGAGCACCCCCUGGACCUAACACCCCCUCUCCAGAUCUUCCAACGCAUGUCUCAGGUAAACAUUCAAAGUGGAGUGGGCCCAGGUGGAACGUAAAUCAGGUGGAACUAAGUUAAGUUUGUUGGUUUAAUUAAGAUAAGAUGCGCCUUUGAAGUUACAGCGCUAAAUGUGAAACUUUUAUUCUAUCAAAGUUUAUUGAAGGUCAAAUAAGCUCAUGUUAUUUAUUAAAAUUUGUUAGCAAAGAAAUGACUAAACUGAUGGUUAAUUGUCUGUCUCAAAGUUUUAAUGGGUAAUUGCUGAAGUAGCUUUCAGAGUCUUUGGUAAUCUGAAAGUUUUAAAGUUUUGCUUGGAUGACAAAUGGAAUUAAAUUGUGGACAUCUAGGUCUUAACCAAAGAGGAUAAAAUGCUAAGUCGUUAAUUACUGGUUGUAGGUUUGUGCUUUUGACUUCUUACUGCAAAGAAACUAAGAGUAUUUAAAUCUGCUGGUAAACUUGUUUUCCACUUAACUGAUUCAUAAAUUGCCACCUGAAGAAUUCUGUUGUAACAGUUCACAAUUGGUUAAUAACUAAAGGUGUUUCUAAGAAUACAAAGUUCUGCUUAGUGUAACUAAGACUGAUGGAAAUAAAGGGAAACUCUGUAUGUAGGAAAGUAGGAGAUAUGUAAGAAAGAUUUAAGGAAUGGGAAUACAUUUUGUUGAAAGUAAAGGAAGGUAAUUUUGUCCUAAAUGAGAUGGUUGUUUGUAAGGAAAUGGCUUGGGACAAAACCUGAAUGCAAAGGAAAGUUGUAGAAGGUUUGUGAAGGGAAAUCUUCAGAAAAGGAAUUUUAGCUAUGGUCAAGAAUGGACUAAGAUUGAAAUGAAUGGAUUUUAAAGGUACAUUGGUACAAGACUGAAAUUUCCUCUGUUCAAAAGGACAGUGUUUUCUUAGAUCAAUUGAUCAGCUGUUAAGAAAAUGUAAAUAGUUUUCUAUUUGCCAGUCCAGAAAACCCAGUUUCUAUGUUUUGUUUAUCAGGUGUUUAACAUCCCUAAUUAUACUUAGGCAUGUGCUUUAAAACUUUCUAAGAUUUUAGCAAAUAUUGACAAGAUUUAAAUUGUAAAUCUCUUUAACUCAGGGUUUUCCUUGGUAUGCGAAGUUGCUCAUGAAGUACUACUGAACCAAUGAUAAACCUUGGGUUACAUUUGGGAAAAUGCUAUAACUAUUCUAGAGAUUCUACGCACUUCCUAAAGUUUUAACGUUUUGAGAGAUCAUCGCUUGAUACUGUAAUUAUGGAAAUGUUAUGUAUCACAGAAAUAACCUGAUUUCCUUGCAGCUAAAUUGUAAACUCCCAUAUCUCUUUAGCUCCAACAAUAUCCAUUCUGAGUUUUUGUCAUUUAUAAUUGUUUUAAUUCUCUUGUAAAAUGAGUUUUAUCUUCAAGGAGAUUCCUAUAAAGGACUUUCAGGACAAAUACAGAUAUUUGAUAUACUUGAAAAUCCUAAAACUGAAAUGGGUAAGAAUUUCCAGAACUAACUAAAGCUGCAUUCACCAGAAUUAGUAACAUGGGACUAAAUGAACUAAAAGAUUAUAGUGUUGUGUCUCUUAAUGUUUUGUCUUACUUUAAACAUUGCUGGUUCUCUCUAAUGUUUGCUCUUCCAGACUAGGGAUACUUUUCCUUAAGUUAUCUGUAACUUACAGAGAUGUAAAAGUGCUCAAAGCAAUCAACUUUUCUCUCUAUCUGAACCCUCUGAAACCAAAAGGUCUCAGUUAAGUAUUCUUUCUUCCAUGGCAAUCAGUCAUUUGCAUAAGUUCAAUAAGAAUCUGUUCUCCUUGUAACAGGACACCAUUGGAAACUGGUUGUUUUACCAAGGCUUUGACUGGGAUGUCACAUUUGAAAAGACUCAGAUAUGACCAGACAGUUUAAAGGAACUAAGGUUGACUUUAUGCAACCUGGAGCCAUAAAGCCCCUUGGGACUGUUGGCCUGAUACCUUGCUUACAGAGUUCCCAGCAGCCUCACCAGGUGAGUAAAGAAUGUCACUCCUUGGUAGGUGCAGUCUCGGGAAGAGGGAUUCGCCCAAAGGUAUUGCAGGCAUGCCUGAUGGCAAGUACAGGGCUUGGCUUCUGGCCCGGAGAGGCUACUAAAAGUUCAACCUAGAGAUUCCUUAUACGAAGUUCCAGCAAAGCAGAUUCUAAAAGAUCUAUUGAUCACACUCGCUGUUCUUGCUGAGAUUAUGUAAAUAAUGGGCCAAGUUUGUUAAAACUGGACCUGUGUCACAAGUGAAUUAGUCCUGAUUUGGCUAUCUUUGUAAAUGAGGGUUAUUUUAGAGAGAAAAAUUGUUUUAGUAACACACCUUUAUGGAUGUUAAAUUCUAGAUUUGAUUGUCUUUAAAUGUUUGUGUACCUAAGCUAAACAAUUUGAGGUAAACUUCAGAGAAGUUGCACAAUAGCUUCUUUAGUCACUCUUAUUAUUUUGUGGGGAUAUUAGCAGAAUCCCGUGGCACAUGAUUAAACAACUGAAAAAAUGGGAUUGAUUCCCCUACAAUUGUAUAACUUAACUAACACCUUAUGUGUGGCUGGGAUAAUGGAAUUGCCUAAAAGCCACCAUACCACACUCCAUAGGAUUAACUAUGGACUUGUGGAGAUAAUGGAUGACCCCACUUUCUUUAUGAGUGGAUUGGAUGAUUCAUGGGGGGCUCCCCUUAUCUCUUGACAAGUUUUCUCCCACUUGACAAUGAUCCUCUGUAAUCAGGAUAUUGUUAAGGCUGGACCACUCAAAGGUCUUCUUAUUGGUUUCAUCCCUUAGUCAUAUUUAUCCUAGAGGCCACCUCUGUUGAGGUGCAAUUGCAAACAGAUGCUUUAGCUAAGCAUGGAACAGCCCUCCUAUAAAAGAGCCUCAAACCUCACUAUGGAACAGUCCCUGACUGUAAUAACUUCACAUCAGGUCCAGAUUUGUCUUAGAAGCCAAAGACCACCAAUGGAUGAUGGAGGCCGACUUAUUAAAUACUGGGCUACACUAACAGAUAAGCCAGAAAUAAUACUUAAAACUUGUCAAACUUUAAACCUAGUUACCUGUAUGCCUGAACCUGACUACUGUACUUCUUUCUCUAUAGAGCAAAAAGGUUAUUGAUCUUGCUUACUCUAUUUGUCCAGAUUUAAGAUGCCCCUGUUAAAAAUAUGAAUGACAGUUGGUUUUCUGAUGACAGUAGUUUUCAUAGAAAGAAUAAGAAAAGCUAGGUGUGCCAUAGUGCUCACUAGCACUUUGCAAUUGCCAAAGUCUAAGAAUUAACAUUUAUACUGACUCCAAAUAUGCUUUCCUGGUACUACAUGCCCAUGGAGCUAUUUGGAAGGAAAGGAGAUUGCUGUCAAGCCUUAACUCCCUAAUCAAAUAUGGGCCUAAGUUACAAAACCCUCCUUAUCGCUAUACUGAAGAUGGCAUAUAUCAGGUCCGGGAUACAUAUUUGUGGUUCACACCCACUAUUGGACAGCUCAGUUAAAAGGCAGUUUUAUGCUGGGAACAAAAGAAUCAUACGAGUGAUACUUGGGCAAAUAAUGCACGAUAUCUGGGAUGGCUACCACUAGAAAUGUGUUCCCAGAUAAUAGUACUCCAGACUACUGACUGGCUUUGCUACUGACUGGGUAAGGCGACCUGGCAUUAGAUGGCCAGCUCUAAACGGAACCCACUGGAUAUGUGGAACCAACCUGUGGCCCUGGCUUCCUCCAGGGUGGAUAGGUCGCUGUACUUUAGGAUUUGCCUGGAUCCAUGGGCGCAUUACUAAAACCAUUACAACUCCAGCUAAUCUCUCCAACUUGAAACAGAGAUGGACACGAUCUGUUUUUAAAUGGUAUGAUCACUUAGCAUCCAUUUUUGUUCCAUCUGCGGGACUAGAGGAUGUCAUGUGGCAUGUAGAAGCGCUUAAUAAAUAUACUACAAAGGCACUCAAUGAUCCACUAAAUAGCAUCUCCCAGCUUAAUACCGAAGUGUCACAGAUAUGCAAGGCAGUCCUACAAAAUAGGAUGGCCUUAGAUGUCCUGACAGCAGCCCAGGGUGGCACAUGUGCAAUCAUCAAAACAGAAUGUUGUGUGUACAUCCCAGACUAUCACAAAAAUGUCACAGGACUAAUAAAAGAUAUGAAUACCCAAAUUAAGGCCCUACAAGAUCCUUCUCUCUCUCUCAGUGAAUGGUUAAGUUCCUGGUUUGAAGGAGGACUAUGGCCUAAUCUCCUUUUCGGGCUUCUCAUUCUUAUCACCUUAUUAACCUUAAUAUGUUGCUUUGUUCCAUGUUUCUCUACUUGGUGCCGAGACUCCAUUGCUACAAUGACUACACCACGACAGACGAUCCUUGUCGCGCGUGAGGACGCCUCUUCACUGUCAGCGCUGGAUUCAGCUGCCUCCACCUUUUGUAACUCCCCUAUACGUUCCUACCUUGAUCAAUAUUGACCCGAGCAGGUAGGGACAGCUCUACGCCCCUAUUCAGCAUGAAGAAGUUACAGAAAAUGAGACCUUCCACCUUCAACCACCUUAAAGAUUUAAGGGUCAAAAUUGUUCAGGGGGGAAUGAUGAGGGAGCAGGAGGCUGGCUGAGGACAAAGCAAGAGCUGGCGCCUUGCAACCCCCCCCUUCAUCCGCUCCCGUCCAUAGGUGUAGCAUUGCUCAGGCACCCCUGACUGCCAUAAAAUGAUAAAUAGUUAACUUGCUGAGAUCACAAUCCUGCACGAUAGGAGUCUCCCUUGGUUUGCAAAUGUCCUUGAGAUUACAACAAAGAAGUUACCUUAUCAAUAGCCCAAUUUCCAAAGACACAGAACUCAGUUCCUCAAGCCCUAAUGUCACCCUCCCCUCCAUGAAAAACCAAAGGAGGUGGAGGUAGAAGGAAAAGUAAAUAAAGUUAAAUUUCAUCUAAACCUAAAUCUCAUUAACAAGGAUGCUUGAUAGCAGGAAUGUAACAUUCCACCAGACUUCCAAUUGUCUUUACUUGAUAGCAACUAAGCCUUCAAUAUCCUGAUAGUAUUCUUUGCCCCAAUAGCCCUUCUGAACACCCCUUUGUCCUCACUUACCCAACUCCUGUGUAUAUAACCAACCACUCCUAACAACCCGGGGCGGCCGCAUCUCUGCCUGCCCACGGGCCCUGUCCCCGUGCUUUAAUAAACCACCAUUUUGCACCAA